CCUCUCGAAGACGAAGAAUUAAUCUCGUACAUGCUACGAGGUCUCGGCAACGAGUAUGAUCCUCUUGUGAUGAGCAUUACCACACGGGCUGAUUCAUACACCCUUAGCGACAUCUUCACGCACAUGAUGAAUUAUGAGA